UACGUAGGGGGCAAGCGUUGUCCGGAUUUAUUGGGCGUAAAGAGCGUGUAGGCGGCCAGGUAGGUCCGUUGUGAAAACUCGAGGCUCAACCUCGAGACGUCGAUGGAAACCAUCUGGCUAGAGUCCGGAAAGAGGAGAGUGGAAUUCCUGGUGUAGCGGUGAAAUGCGCAGAUAUCAGGAAGAACACCUAUGGCGAAGGCAGCUCUCUGGGACGGUACUGACGCUGAGACGCGAAAGCGUGGGGAGCGAACAGG
rnacentral:rRNA from 1 species